CGUUAUGGUGUACGGAAUAUAACGUUAUUCCUUCUCAGAGAAAUGGAGAAAAAAAAUAUGUGUCGGGAUCUGAAUGAGUAUAUUUUAUUUUCAUUUCCCCUGUCGACUGUCGUAAAGUUCCUAGUAAUGCAAUAUAAAAUUCUACUGAAUCAGAUAUAAUUUUAUUUCGUCCUGCACAUGGAAUUUCACUCAUAUGAAUUAAUAUUAAUAUCGUCUGAUUUUCACAUCAAACGAGCAUAUACUUGAAACUUGCGUGAACAGGUUCCAUGUGAAUCUUAUGAUAAUAGUUCAUGCAUAAAUCACCGGAAUUUUGUACACGUUAAAUUCACGUAAAUAUUUGAAAUAAAAUUAUUUAAAUAAUAUCUUUGUUCUAAAAUUUGAUUAAAACCAUAAAAAAUACCUUCAGAUUUUUGUUAAGUUUACGUGAAAAUUAAAUGAAACAUUUCACGUGAGAUUCAUCCGAAUUACUGAUUUUUAACUCCAUCAUAUUAGACAAUGGUGGUAUCAUCACUGCAUCCCGUGAUGCAGAAAUAUAGUAUUUUAAAAAAUUUGAUUCAUUUAACAGUUUUUUAAUUGCUCGGUUUGAUGGUUGUUUAACGUUCAGUGGCAAAUAGUUCAUGCAUGUUCGGGACGAUACAAUACAAUUUUGAAAACAGUUGUUUAUAAAAGACACAUUUGAUGCACCAGUCAAAAAAGAUUAAACAUUCUGUUAUUUGUGAAAAUUAUGAGGAAAAA
rnacentral:lncRNA from 1 species